rnacentral:rRNA from 1 species
CAAGUCAAGGGGGCGGAGCAAUCCGCAACCGGCGAACGGGUGCGUAACACGUGAGCAACCUACCCUCGUGUGGGGGAUAGCCGGGCUAACGCCCGGGUAAUACCGCAUACGUGUCUUCCGGGGGGUCCUGGGAGACGGAAAGUCUUCGGACGCACGGGGAGGGGCUCGCGGCCUAUCAGCUAGUUGGGGGGGUAACGGCCCACCAAGGCGACGACGGGUAGCUGGUCUGAGAGGAUGGCCAGCCACAUUGGGACUGAGAGACGGCCCAGACUCCUACGGGAGGCAGCAGUGGGGAAUCUUGCGCAAUGGCCGAAAGGCUGACGCAGCGACGCCGCGUGUGGGAGGACGCCUUUCGGGGUGUAAACCACUGUUGCCCGGGACGAACAGCAUCUUUCGAGAUGCCUGACGGUACCGGGUGAGGAAGCACCGGCUAACUCCGUGCCAGCAGCCGCGGUAAUACGGAGGGUGCGAGCGUUGUCCGGAAUCAUUGGGCGUAAAGGGCGCGUAGGUGGCCCCUCAAGCGGGCGGUGAAAGUCGGGGGCUCAACCCCCGAUCGGCCGUGCGAACUGGGGGGCUGGAGCACUGUAGAGGCAGGCGGAAUUCCGGGUGUAGCGGUGGAAUGCGUAGAGAUCCGGAAGAACACCGGUGGCGAAGGCGGCCUGCUGGGCAGUAGCCGAAAGGCUUUCAAGCUGACACUGAGGCGCGACAGCGUGGGGAGCAAACAGGAUUAGAUACCCUGGUAGUCCACGCCGUAAACGAUGGGCACUAGGCGCUUGGGGGAGCGACCCCUCGAGGGCCGGCGCUAACGCAUUAAGUGCCCCGCCUGGGGAGUACGGCCGCAAGGCUGAAACUCAAAGGAAU